GUGCCAGCCGCCGCGGUAAUACGGAGGGGGUUAGCGUUGUUCGGAAUUACUGGGCGUAAAGCGCGCGUAGGCGGACAUUUAAGUCAGGGGUGAAAUCCCGGGGCUCAACCCCGGAACUGCCCUUGAUACUGGGUGUCUUGAGUUCGAGAGAGGUGAGUGGAAUUCCGAGUGUAGAGGUGACAUUUAACGAUAAAAGAGAGAGCACCCAGGGUGAAAACAACUAACUAGGAUAGAACUGACGCCAAUAAGACUAAAGCACGGGGAGCAAACAGGAUUAGAUACCCCGGUAGUCC
rnacentral:rRNA from 1 species